rnacentral:rRNA from 1 species
UACGUAGGGGGCAAGCGUUGUCCGGAUUUAUUGGGCGUAAAGAGCGUGUAGGCGGCUAGGUAGGUCCGUUGUGAAAACUCGAGGCUCAACCUCGAGACGUCGAUGGAAACCAUCUAGCUAGAGUCCGGAAGAGGAGAGUGGAAUUCCUGGUGUAGCGGUGAAAUGCGCAGAUAUCAGGAGGAACACCCGUGGCGAAAGCGGCUCUCUGGAACGGUACUGACGCUGAGACGCGAAAGCGUGGGGAGCGAACAGG